GAAAUGUCCUUCCUCCUAAGAAAUUAUCCUCCCAUCUGAGAUUAGCAGCAUCUAAUCUCAGUUUUCUCCACUGCUGACCAGCAUCAGCAACACAGUUCUAGUCCUGUUUUGGGUAUCAAAUCCAAAUCCUGUAAGCAAAAGGUCAAGGAUUCAGAAGUGAAAGGAAAGACUGUGGCUCUAACUUUGCCAAAGUGAAAAGUACAGACCUCUGCCAUCAGUGAAGAAAGAACCCAGAUCUGAUAAGAGCUUCAAACAGGCUCAGCACCUCCUGGCACACAUAGAGCGGCAUCACGUUGCCCCAAGAAAAUCACAUCUCUACACAUCAGACCCUUUCCAGUCCAUUUUGCCCCAUCCACAAAAUGAAAAUGCCACUUUAUUUACUAAAUCUAAAAAUUCUGUUGGGAGGCAAAGGAGAGUUGAAGAAUUUGCAAUGAAUUUAACCUGCCAGGAGAGGGAGUUUAACACCAAGCUUCCAGAAACAGGCUGCGUGGUAGCUACAACGUCCAGAAACCCAGGUUUCAACGCGGCCCUGCUUCAAGACCCAAAGGAAAUUCAGCACCAGGCGGGUGAAGUGACUUACCUGUGCACAGCUGCACUCGCAGACUUCGGAGCCCCCACCUAAUUCUAAAAUGCUGUAUGUCCAUGAACUUAAUAACAGAAGGUCAGGGGAGAGACGUUCUGAGAGCAACGGAAA
rnacentral:lncRNA from 1 species